AGCUACAUCCGUCACCUGACACGGCCCUACCAGGAACAGCCGCGCUCCCGCGGAUUCUGGUGCUGCUCGCGUCCCCGCUCCCCUAUUCCCCUUAUUUUAUUCCUGGCUCCCCUCGUCGAAAGUCUUCCAUUCUUCAAACUAGAUUAUUUAAAAAUGAAAAAGGAAGAAAGGAAAGCGAGGUCAUCUCAUUGCUCUAUCCGCCAAUCAGGAGGCUGAAUGUCAGUUUUGAACUAAAAGCCGCUCCGCUCCUCUUCUAGAUUUGGAAAACAAGCGAAAUUAAACUAAACCGCUGCACGCCUCUGAUGCGACAUCUGGACACUGCGUGGCGCUGGCGCUGCCGGAGCUGCGGGCCCGGCCUGGCGCCGGACUAGUCUCCCUUUUGAUGAGAAGAGUAAGUCUCAUUCUGAUUCAACAGCAGAGAUCAAAGAAAAGACUUCUGUUUUCUGGCCACCAGAUAUAUGUUAUCUGUGCUUAAAGAACUGAAAAACACACAUCAAAGGAGAAUUCUCUUGGAAAGAGAGGGUUCAAGCAUUAUUGUUAGGUGUGCUGGAAUCCUUUCCCGAGUCAGUACUGCUUUCUAGAACAGAACCAGGGAGAUCUAUUUGGAAUGUAUCUAACUCCAAAGAAACCAUCAGAGGUAAUAGUGGAGACGGGGUUUCACCAUGUUGGCCAGACUGGUCUUGAACUCCAGACCUCAUGAUUCGCCUGCCUCCGCCUCCCAAAGUGCUGGGAUUACAUGUGUGAGACACCACACUCAGCGGAUAGAGAGAAUUUUGACAGAUAUGACACGUUCAUAAUUUAAACAAAAGCCUACAAAGAACUCAUAAAUUAAAAGAAGAUAAUCUUUUCACAAGGUGAUGGAGGCUUUUUAUUUUGCCACAGAACCACUGGUGACGUUGCCUGUGGCCACCUUGGAGAUGACACUGGAGACAGGGUCUCACUCUGUCACCCAGGCUGGAGUGUAUUGGCAUGAUUAUAGCUCACUGUGAUCUUGAACUCCCAGGCUCAAACCUGAGCAGCUGGGACUACAGGUGCACCACCAUGCAUGGAUGAUUACGGAGUUAGGAAUUUCCUACGAAGCUGGGUGAUAAAAGCACAUUGGAGAAAAACACAGAUAGCUUCAUUCUAUACCAGGAUCCAUUAUAUUUGUCUCUACUGUAAUUUGAGGAGAAUGAUAUCUGCUUCUCUAUCUUGUUGGGUUUUACAGAUGACGUAUUGAAAGUUCAAUAAAAUCUAUAAACAAU
rnacentral:antisense_RNA from 1 species